rnacentral:lncRNA from 1 species
GGAUCUUCAGGAGCUGAUGAGUCCACCUAGAGUAGCCACUUAAAUCUCGCAGCUGUUGCUGUUGAUCUAGUGGGUGGUUUCACGAUAACUGGAAUAGUUUUGUCGCCGUAACAGACAACACAUUUUUCGGUCAUAUUUUUAGUAGAAAUGAUAAGUCGUUGUUAGAUUUGUCAAAACUGUGCGCAGCUUACAGAAGCAGUUCAGCGUAACACAAGGCACAUCAAUAGGACCAUGAAGUGUCAUCAAUUCAUUUUUUAAAGUAACCGGGUUAGUUGUCUUGCGGAAAAAUGCGUAUCAAGCUUAGGAUUUCGAUGUAUUCAGGGUUCGUCUAAAGCCCUUCGAAUUCUAAAUGUGCGCAUGUAUAUUACGAUUUGAUUCUAAUUUUCUGGUAUUUUUACUUUUGUUGCAGGUAACUAUAACCAACCGCACCACUUUUAAGAGCGCAGCCUCUUCGUUUUUUUGCCCUCACCAUCAUUAG